CUUAAAGGAAUUGACGGGGCCGCACAAGCGGUGGAGCAUGUGGUUAAUUCGAAGCAACGCGAAGAACCUUACCAGGUCUUGACAUCCCCUGACAACCCGAGAGAUCGGCGUUCCCCUUCGGGGGGACAGGGUGACAGGUGGUGCAUGGUUGUCGUCAGCUCGUGUCGUGAGAUGUUGGGUUAAGUCCCGCAACGAGCGCAACCCUCGACCUUAGUUGCCAGCGAGUCAAGUCGGGCACUCUAAGGUGACUGCCGGCUAAAAGUCGGAGGAAGGUGGGGAUGACGUCAAAUCAUCAUGCCCCUUAUGACCUGGGCUACACACGUGCUACAAUGGGCGGUACAAAGAGCAGCUAACUCGCGAGAGUAUGCAAAUCUCAAAAAGCCAUCCUCAGUUCGGAUUGGAGUCUGCAACUCGACUCCAUGAAGUUGGAAUCGCUAGUAAUCGCGGAUCAGCAUGCCGCGGUCGAAUACGUUCCCGGGCCUU
rnacentral:rRNA from 1 species